rnacentral:rRNA from 1 species
AGUUGACCUCGGAUCAGGUAGGAGUACCCGCUGAACUUAAGCAUAUCA